rnacentral:lncRNA from 1 species
GUGUCCAAUGUGAAGUGUAGCUGGUAGAGUCUGGGGGAGGCUUGGUACAGCUUGGGGGGUCCAUGUGACUCUCCUGUGCAGCCUCUGGAUACACUUUCAGUAACUAUGGCAUGCACUAGGUGGACCAAGCUCCAGGGAAGGGACUGGAGUGGGUCUUACAUUAAUGCUAGUGGUGGAGGCAUAUACUACUCAGACUCUGUGAAGGGCCGGUUGACCAUCUCCAGAGAAAACACCAAGAACUCACUGUAUCUGCAAAUAAACAGUUUCAUUGCUGACACCAUGGCCGUCUAUUACU